UAUAAUAGCAGAGAGGAUACACCUGUUCCCAUUCCGAACACAGAAGUUAAGCUCUCUAGCGCUGAUGGUACUUGGUGGGAAACUGCCUGGGAGAGUAGGA
rnacentral:rRNA from 1 species